rnacentral:miRNA from 1 species
GUAUGUGUCCAUGAAUUGUCC